rnacentral:rRNA from 1 species
AUGGGGGACUCGAGAACCACGUUUUUGGAAGGAGUUCAAGGAAAAUUCAAGAACUUGCAGCUCUCUCAAGGAGAGAAAAAGGGAAUCAGGAUUGGAAAGAAGCAGGCAUGCUCCUCGCAGGUAAACAAGCUACAGGUUGUAGGUAAACUUCUCUCAGAGAGGCCGGUUAGAGCAGAGCAUGUGGGAAGAUCCUUGGGGGGAGUUUGGAGUCCAAUUUUUGGUGUGGAAUGCAUAGAAUUGGGCGGGAAUCAUUUUCUCUUUACUUUCCAUCAAAAAACUGACAAGGAUAAGGCACUAGAUGCUGGACCCUGGAGAUUCAACAAUGACAUGUUGGUAAUGGAGGAUUUUGUGCCGAGUAGAACUAUAGAUGAGUACGAAUUUAAGAGAAUACCUAUUUGGAUUAGAGCUUAUGGCAUUCCAAUGGGGAUGAUGAGCAAAGAAACGGGAUAUGCAGUGGGAGAACAAGUUGGAGAAGUUAUCGAUGUGGACCUGGAUGUCCAUGGUGAUUCAAUGGGAGUUUUCAUGCGGAUUAAAGUGAGAAUAGAUAUCACAGUCCCAAUUAUGAGAUUUUUAACAUUCUAUAUUGGGGAAUAA